rnacentral:lncRNA from 1 species
CGAAGUCUGGGGAGAGGUAGAGAUGCCGCCUAUCACUGACCAUAAAUAGAAGGUGAGUAAAAAGUACGGUGGGGUGGUAGGUACGCGUAACGGUCCGAAUGAUGGAGAACGCGUUAAGUCGUUGGGACGCGUGGUCCAGUUAAAAACAUUGGGAACGGAUUUAAGCCUCCGCUGACGGAUCGACUCUCGGCGAUAAUACUAAACGGGUGACGUCAAUCUGUGUAGAAGUGCGUAAUUGCUGGUCGGACCGCUGCCAUUUGGUCGAUAGCCAGUAAGAUGUUGGGUAACAAAAUCUAUCAAUUUUAUCCGAUAGGUGGGGAGUGGGUAAGAGAGAAAGGGUCUUCCGUGGAGGAGACCGGGCCGUGGACCGUAUCCUUUUGGACGAGCCGACAAAUUCUCCGUUUAUUCUAAAAUAUCCCAGCUGGACGGCGGCGAGAUGGACCGUUAAAGACCGCAUCCGUUAAGCCGAAGGGCUCCCGUCUGCCGACCAUUUUAACCGUAACCCACGCUGUUUCUAGGCGCUAGGCCCGCCGAAACGGCGGAUCCGGAGUGACGGUCUGUGGGUCGGACUGGAGCGGAUAGUUCCAAAAUCUCGGGGGAGGAAGCACCAGGCGGGGCACACCGGCCGUCUUCCGGGGACGGAGACGGAACCGUUCAGACCGAUGGAAGGAAAAGCGACGGUCUAGAGAUUUUCGGCCCAUCCGAGUCACGGGUGGACCGCCGCCCACCCUCGGGCACGGGGAUAGCCCUCGCCCGUUUUAUCUGUGGGUGGGAGGGAGUUUUUCUAGCCGGGUCUGAUGGGAACCACGACCGAGAAAAAUCUGGGAAGACCGGCCAAAUAACGGUUGGAAUAGGCGCGAAGAAACUGCGGGCCAACAUCCAGCCGGGGAAAUUUUUAGCGGGAAUAAUGGGGAAAUUUUCUUCCGAGGAAGGAGGAGACGAGCUAUUAAUAGUCCAGGUUUUUUGUGCCAGAAAGUGAUCAACAAACACUACCUCGGUCACUUUAAUUAUCGGUCGGUAAGAAUUUAAGAAGGACGUAAUAAUUUGUAUUAAGGAUGGAUGUGGGGAAAUUCGGAGGUCGUACCGCUGGGUAACGGCCUUCUUAUCCAGGGAAAGGCACUUCCCGCCGGAAUUUUUCCACGGCCAGCGAAAAAAUGUUUUUCGAACUUCGCUGCCUAGACAUUUAAUGGUCGCUGCCGUUUAGUUACCACCCACUUGGAAGGCUCGACCUCCGUGCUGGGGAAGCCACUUCCCGCCUCUAAGUUAACCAGCCCCAAAAACUUCUUUUUGCCAUAUGGCGCUUGGCUCGGCUUCCCCUUUGUCCGCCGUAUCGCCCUCCCGCUAAAUGCCUUUCAUUGGUCCGCCAUCGGUGGCCUGGCGCUGAAAUGACAGUGUCUUUGUCCAAAAAUGCCAAAUAUUGGGUCCCGGUGGAGUGAACGGGACGCCGCUGGCCAUUACGCCACUCUUAGUCAACGACUUAACAGCGUUUAUCAUCUCGGUUUGAUUGUUUUCGGGCGGUGCGCGCCACCAGCGACUCCUGCACGGCGGGCCCUCCCGUCGGCCAUAUAAGUUAUCACCAGAAGACAACGUCGGGCUUUCCAUCAUCCCGGUAGUUUCCCGUCAGUGGGAAAGUAUCGGGAUGUAGGGCCCACCCCUCCGACAAAUUUUCUAAGCCCCGCUUGUCCCGGACCAGUUAAAUUCUAGUCUGGCCCUGACUUUGCUUCACCGUUGGCUACGAAUGAUUUCGGAAAGCCGGCGGAUGUCGGCCAGGCGGCGGCCCAAAAAUAGCCACGGGAUCUGGUUGCCGUUCGUCACGCUGGGGGGAGUUGGCGCGCCUCCGUCUUCGACUGCGCCUGUGGGUUAGACACGCUCUUCUCCGUCCGAUUAUUCUGAUCGAAUUGGAGCCUCCCCUCGACCGUGCUAGAGCCGGACCGGCCCCACUGCUGUCUCUUCUCUCCGUCGCUUCCGGCUCUAGCCACCAAUUAUCUUAACCCCUAGUUUGGGAAAGUUUUACUCGGUCUGUCACCCGAGGCUUUUUAACCCCAUCUAUCUGGACUCCGGCUAUUUUAGUCUAGCCUCCGGCUCUACCGCGCCGCCCUUUACAUCCCGACUAGGCGCGCGCUAACGCGUUCCUUUUCACCGCCGUUUUGUUAUAGUUGGGCGGCUGCCAGCCUCGAGCGUGCCUAGUGCCGCGCGGCGGGAUCUGGUUUCUACUCGGUUUGGAAGAAAUCCAAAGCCUCUCCGGCGCCACUUUCCUCUCACCGCGGACUCCGUCCCGGGCGGAAAACCCGAGAGCGGAGGUAGUUGUUUACUAACGUGUGCCGCUGCGUUGGUCCGAUGUUUACCCAAAUGACGGAGCUUUCCUUCUCUCCAUCCAGACUUACUUGGGGAGAUCUAACUGAUCGCACGUGCUGUGUGCGUGGCUGUAACGGGAGCCGAGUUGGCCCGCUGCCAGACACGUGACCUUCGUCACUUCCUCCGAUUCUCCGCUGCCGACCGGGGACAUACGAUACCCGAGAGGAGGGUGGAGAUCCCCUCUUGGCUGCUCCUUCUCCAGCUUCUCUCGACCCCCUCCAUCACUCCGGAGCAACAGAUGUUAGGCGAGCUGCCAGAAGAUGGUGAUAGAACUCUGUCUCGCUUCCAAAUAAGGAAACUGAACCUCAUCCUUCGAAACACGAGUUCGGCGAACAACGCGUGGCGGCGGCGGCCGUCGUCACACCAGAUGGUGCCAGUAUUGUUAGGGAAUAGCGCGUUUCACCUCUGGCCGGCCAUUAAAAAUAUUCCGGCCGGGCCCUUUUCCCGGAGGCUGGACACCGGUGGCCGACUUGGUCAGCGAAACUUUGUUUAUGCAGGCAGAUGUGCGGAUGCGAGUAAACACCCGGAAAUCUGACUUCCCGUUGGCGACUUAUUUGUCAGAGGAUUUAUCUGGUUAUCCUCCCUGUUAUUUACCCGGCUUGACCUUGAUGGCCCUCCGGUCCGAGCCGUUACCCGGGCUAAAUGGCGGAGGGGUGGCUCGGCGCUGCCUGCAGCCGGCCUGGCCCUUUCGGCGGCCGACUAGCGCUGGCUUAAGUGACUACUCGUCAUUGGCCGUCCGACUGGCGACGUCAGCCGCGCUGGUCGCGCAUGUGUACAUGCCCGGUGUAGCGAACAGAUAUUUAGACUUAAGUCAUAUCGUUCCUGCGGCGAAUUGAGGUAGGCUGCUAUUUUUGGUGUUUCUUUAUUCCGAGCUAUUUUCGGCGGGUCAUCACAAUACUCCGCGUAUGGCACCAGUGUACGCGUCUAGCUCUUCCCGGAUGGCGCACUAGCAAUAAGGGGGCGACCAUGGGAGUUGAACGAACUAACCUGGUUCUUUUUUCUCGCCUUUCCAGGACGGAUCGCGCGUGUCUUUGAACCUGGUUGCCGACACGUGUUAUGGCCCGUCGACUUGUCUCCCGCGAGAAAGUAUCUGGUUGGAGAGAAAGGCCGCCGGCCACUCCGAUACCAGCUAAUACACUGACCUAGUAAGCGUCGAGUUUGUUAACCCGACUUCGUUCCUUGACCUUGCUUUUUCUCGUUCCGGGGGCCAGCCGGUACAGCCCGCUCCGCCGCUCUUACGUCUGGGGAUUAAACAUAUGGAGGAUAUCGGAUCCCCGUUUCCUGUUAGUUGGCUCCGGCUUUAAGAAAACCCUCUUAUCUGAGAGGACUUUUCCUCCCCGCAAUCGAGACUCCCGUCCACAUGGCGUGGCUUUAUCGUCAUUUAUUGGCCCACCUAUUCCUCGUCUUCCUCCGGAGAUGCUGGGUUACCCCCGCACCGAACUUGGCCCAUUCGGAAACAAAAAACGCAUUGUUCCCGCUUACCUCUCCUCCGGUUCGGUAUAAUUAGCUAGGGCCAGCAGAGCCGCAUUUAUUCGUAUGACCACAAGCUGGCGUUAACGUUGAAAUCAGC